UAUUGGACAAUGGGGGGGACCCUGAUCCAGCGACGCCGCGUGAGUGAAGAAGUAUUUCGGUAUGUAAAGCUCUAUCAGCAGGGAAGAAAGAAAUGACGGUACCUGACUAAGAAGCCCCGGCUAACUACGUGCCAGCAGCCGCGGUAAUACGUAGGGGGCAAGCGUUAUCCGGAUCUACUGGGAGUAAAGGGAGCGUAGACGGUUACGCAAGUCUGGAGUGAAAGGCGGGGGCCCAACCCCCGGACUGCUUUGGAAACUGUAUAACUGGAGUGCAUGAGAGGUAAGUGGAAUUCCUAGUGUAGCGGUGAUAUGCGUAGAUAUUAGAAAGAACACCAGUGGCGAAGGCGGCUUACUGGACUGUAACUGACGUUGAGGCUCGAAAGCGUGGGGAGCAAACAGG
rnacentral:rRNA from 1 species